AGGGCGAGAGGCAUGUUUUAGUCACGUUUCUGGUUUUAUUUUCGUAGCGGGAUCCUUGCGUUAAGGACCACGGCAAUGGGGAAAGUAAUAAUUAGCGCCUGAGAACUGCUCUGUGGUUUAGGUAGUUUCAUGUUGUUGGGGCUCCACCUUUCUCUCUACAGCACGAAACUGCCUUAAUUACUUCAGUUGAUAUCAUCACCAGGUAUGCUUGGUGCGAGGGUCCUUUCUACCCGAAGAAAUCUUAGCAAUGAAGUGAACUGUAGGCGUCAAGUCCCAAUGCCAUUGUUUCCCAUCUGCAGCGGAGCCUCCUUUGAUUCCUCAGAUAAACACGGCAGCCGAGGGGGGAAGCUUGACAAGUUCUUCAAGGUUAGCUAGCUCCUAAGCGAGUCCCUGCCUGCUUGCGGGUUUUUAAUAUAUCUCGUUGGCUGCAUUCAAGGUCAGGUCUGACGGGCUAUCUGCAGUGUCUGUGUACAUUUCGGGGAGUGUAUUUACAGUUCUGUGUUUGUGUGUGUGCCUGUAUGGCGUCUUUUGCCUCUGCCCUUUUGAUUCCCAGUUGAAUCGCCUCGUCCUGAUUUUGGACUGCUUCCUCUAAAUUCUGAAUCAUUUUUUCUCUUCACUGUGCCAAAACCCCUCCGUGGCUUCGUACCACCACUGGUUCCGUGAGAGAGGU